rnacentral:rRNA from 1 species
UGAAUACGAGACGCUAAGGCGUCGAAGUAGUGUAUGUCAUACUUCCAAGAAAAGCUUGCACUGUCAUAGAUAAAAAACGCCUGUACCAUAACCGACACAGGUGGGUAGGUAGAGUAUACUAAGGGGCGCGAGAUAACUCUCUCUAAGGAACUCGGCAAAAUAACUCCGUAACUUCGGGAGAAGGAGUGCCUUAUUAUUAAGGCUGCAAUAACAAGAUCCAAGCAACUGUUUAUCAAAAACACAGGUCUCCGCUAAGUCGUAAGACGAUGUAUGGGGGCUGACGCCUGCCCAGUGCCAGAAGGUUAAAGAAGUUGGUUAGCAUUUGCGAAGCUGAUAACUGAAGCCCUGGUGAACGGCGGCCGUAACGAUAACGGUCCUAAGGUAGCGAAAUUCCUUGUCGGGUAAGUUCCGACCCGCACGAAAGGCGUAAUGAUUUGGAUACUGUCUCGGAGAGGGGCUCGGUGAAAUAGACUUGACUGUGAAGAUGCGGACUACCUGCACCAGGACAGAAAGACCCUAUGAAGCUUUACUGUAACUUGAAAUUGAAAUUGGACUUUAUUCGCGCAGCAUAGGUGGGAGGCGUUGAUUAUAAUCUUGUGGGAUUAUUGGAGCCAUCAGUGAGAUACCACUCUUGUAAUGUUAGAUUUCUAACUUUGAAUCAUUAUCUGGUCAAAGAACAGUUUCAGGCGGGCAGUUUGACUGGGGCGGUCGCCUCCUAAACGGUAACGGAGGCGUACAAAGGUUUCCUCUGAACGGUUAGAAAUCGUAUCUAGAGUGUAAAGGCAUAAGGAAGCUUGACUGUGAGACCUACAAGUCGAGCAGGGACGAAAGUCGGUCUUAGUGAUCUGACGGUACUGAGUGGAAAGGCCGUCACUCAACGGAUAAAAGUUACUCUAGGAUAACAGGCUGAUCUCCCCCAAGAGUUCACAUCGACGGGGAGGUUUGGCACCUGAUGUCGGCUCAUCGCAUCCUGGGGCGGUAGUACGUCCCAAGGGUUGGGCUGUUCGCCCAUGAAAGCGGUACGCGAGCUGGGUUCAGAACGUCGUGAGACAGUUCGGUCCAUAUCCGGUGUAGGCGUUAGAAUAUUGAGAGGAGCCUUCUUUAGUACGAGAGGACCGAGAAGGACAUACCUCUGGUGUACCAGUUAUCGUGCCAACGGUAAACGCUGGGUAGCUAUGUAUGGAGUGGAUAACCGCUGAAAGCAUCUAAGUGGGAAGCCCACCUCAAGAUAAG